GACUCCUGCGCAAGCGCAGAGUGAAGGGCCGGGAACAGUGGAGGGUGCGAGGAAGACAAUGGGGGAGGACCCUGAGGCGGCCUCUGUGAGCCGACAGGAACACGUGGUCGAUCAGAGAGAGACUCGAGGUUCGUGAACGGAUGGGGAGGACCCUGAAAAGCACUGUGGAAUACAGGUUUCUAGUAACUUCAAAAUCACAUCAUUUGGACUGGGUAAGAAUUGCUGAAACUUUAAUGAAAAGACUGACUGGCUUAUAAAACUGCUAACCCAAAUAGAAUAAAAAUUAAUUGAAUACCGAGGAAAUGCUUCACCAGGUUUGCAUACUUAAUCAGCCUAUACUGAAAUUGUUUAGAUAUACAAUUUGAAUGAACUCCAUGGUCUAAGUCAAAUUACCUGUGAUAACCCAUCAGUUAUCC
rnacentral:lncRNA from 1 species